rnacentral:rRNA from 1 species
GAUGAACGCUGGCGGCGUGCCUAACACAUGCAAGUCGAGCGAACGGACGAGAAGCUUGCUUUUCUGAUGUUAGCGGCGGACGGGUGAGUAACACGUGGAUAACCUACCUAUAAGACUGGGAUAACUUCGGGAAACCGGAGCUAAUACCGGAUAAUAUUUUGAACCGCAUGGUUCAAAAGUGAAAGACGGUCUUGCUGUCACUUAUAGAUGGAUCCGCGCUGCAUUAGCUAGUUGGUAAGGUAACGGCUUACCAAGGCAACGAUGCAUAGCCGACCUGAGAGGGUGAUCGGCCACACUGGAACUGAGACACGGUCCAGACUCCUACGGGAGGCAGCAGUAGGGAAUCUUCCGCAAUGGGCGAAAGCCUGACGGAGCAACGCCGCGUGAGUGAUGAAGGUCUUCGGAUCGUAAAACUCUGUUAUUAGGGAAGAACAUAUGUGUAAGUAACUGUGCACAUCUUGACGGUACCUAAUCAGAAAGCCACGGCUAACUACGUG